rnacentral:rRNA from 1 species
ACUUUCAACAACGGAUCUCUUGGUUCUGGCAUCGAUGAAGAACGCAGCGAAAUGCGAUAAGUAAUGUGAAUUGCAGAAUUCAGUGAAUCAUCGAAUCUUUGAACGCACAUUGCGCCCGCCAGUAUUCUGGCGGGCAUGCCUGUCCGAGCGUCAUUUCAACCC